GUCGGAGAUGCCCGUGUGCCCCCAACCGCUCUUUCAGCUUUGACACUACGUUGCUUUGGGGUGCAGGGCUGGGGAUCCCCACUGGCCCCCCUCCAGGCCUGGUUGGGGGCUCUCGGGGUACAGGGCCGUUAUUUAAGAAAGCCUGGGCCCCUGGCUUCAGCUCACAGUCCUCUCCAAGUGCAGUUUUGGGGAGUUUUCAGAAUGACCCAUCUUACGUAGUUGAUGAUUUAAAGCCACAAGCUGUCGCUGGAGAUUCCCUGUGCAUUUUUUUACCUCAUUCUUGCAUUAGGUGAUGUGACGGUUCAGAAACGUCCUUGCUGGGAGUCUGAGCUCUGCAGCCCUGCAGCUCCAGGCCACGUUUCACUUUGGGGGCACGAACCGGCGAUAGCGCUCGGCCUCCUUCCGUGUCUCCUGUGCCGUCGGGUUAAUUGCCGGUAGCACCUGUUGGGGCAAGUCUGUGCCAGAUUGGCGGCCACGCUUUUCUUGGAGAGGACUGUGGUGUGUAAACGGAAGAGGAUGUGCUCAUCAGGACAGAGCCUCCUGGUAGAAAAGGGUCCGGGUUGAAAGCAAAGCAGAUGCACAGGAGCUGGUUUCGCAUCAAGGAUGAAACUACCCAUGAAGUCGCACUAAUCUUGCAUCUCCGGUCUUUCUUUCUAACCUGUGGAGAAGCGCACUCCCACCCCAUCCUACUGGCACCUGUUGACAGCCCUUUGUGGUGGAUAAGACCUCACUUCCCUCGCCGAGAAGACAGAAGGCCGAGGUCAGAGCGAGGCCGGGGAAGAGACACGUGCGCUGCCUCCGUGUGAGCCCGGUGCCCAUGGCCCGGGAGUGGGCCCGGACCCACCGCCGCCCCCGCAGCUGCGAAGACCAAGGCCAGGAUGAGUGACCUGCCCGGCGCCCCCCGCUCGCCCGACACCAGAUUCUGAGCCGGCCCUCUGGACUCUAGCCCGGUGUGCUGUUUCUCCGUGGCCACGUGCGCCGACAGGGUUCCAGUCCCCCUCCUUCCUCCCAGGAUGUGAAACGGGCAGAAAAAUAAAGCAUCGCCUUUCCGCAC
rnacentral:lncRNA from 1 species